GAGAAAGUAAUCUAGAAGACAAUGCACAAUUAUCUAUGUUAAAGUUUUACUUUUCUGUUUUUUAAUUUGUAAUAGAUAAUACUGUACACAUGAUAUAAAAUUUAAAAUCACCAAAAAGUUAUUACAAAUAAAAGUAAAUUUCCUUCUUAUUCCUGACAGGCAUUAUCUAGUUCCUUCCCCCUGAAACAACUAGCAGUAUCAGUUUUCUGUGUAUCCAUAUCGAUGGUAACGUUUUAAAUCCAGUAUACCCCAUCAUCCCCAGAUGAAACCGUCUAGCUGCAGGAAAGCAAGCUCAAGGUUCCCACUGAUUCUACAUUAUGAAUGUAAGUUCCAUGAAGGCAGGCAGUGGAUUGGUCUUGCCUACUGUUGUAACCCCUGUCUGGCAGAGUUCCUGGAAAACAGCAAAUAACUGUAAAUGUUGGCCAAGUAAAUACUUGUUAUCUACUUCCAAUUUCAUAAAACUUUCUCUUCCCUUGAGUUCUGUUAUACUCAACUUUUCUGUUUUUCCUCUUCUAUCUCUGACUACUCUUUCUUUGGCUUAUCUUCUUUGUUGCUUUUGGUAUUGUCCAAGUAUUUGUCCUUGGCUAUCUUCUUAGUUCUGCUAGCAGUUUCUUCUUGGUAAUCUUAUACACAUCAGGUUUUCAACUAUCAUCUCUGGGUAGAUGAUUUAAUAUGUUUUACCCCAACUUCAAUCUCUUUUUUUUUUU
rnacentral:lncRNA from 1 species